rnacentral:rRNA from 1 species
AGAGUUUGAUCAUGGCUCAGAAUGAACGUUGGCGGCGUGGAUUAGGCAUGCAAGUCGAGCGCGAACCCCGCAAGGGGUGAAAGCGGCGAAAGGGACAGUACAAAGUAGAAACGUACCCUGGGGUUCGGGAUAGCUGCGGGAAACUGCAGGUAAUACCGAAUAACAUCUCCGGAUCAAAGGUGUGAUUCCGCCCCUGGAUCGGUCUUCUCCCUAUUAGCUAGUUGGUGAGGUAAUGGCUCACCAAGGCGAUGAUGGGUAGCGGGUGUGAGAGCACGACCCGCGUCACUGGGACUGAGACACUGCCCAGACACCUACGGGUGGCUGCAGUCGAGGAUCUUCGGCAAUGGGCGCAAGCCUGACCGAGCGACGCCGCGUGUGGGAUGAAGGCCUUCGGGUUGUAAACCACUGUCGGAGCGGAGGAAGUGCGUGGGGGUACUCCCCCAUGUUUGACCUAUGCUCAAAGGAAGUACGGGCUAAGUUCGUGCCAGCAGCCGCGGUAAGACGAACCGUACGAACGUUAUUCGGAAUUACUGGGCUUAAAGGGUGCGUAGGCGGUACGGCAAGUUGGAUGUGAAAUACCUCGGCUUAACCGAGGAACUGCGUUCAAAACUGCCGUGCUUGAGUGAGACAGAGGUAAGCGGAACUGAGGGUGGAGCGGUGAAAUGCGUUGAUAUCCUCAGGAACACCGGUGGCGAAAGCGGCUUACUGGUCUCAACUGACGCUGAGGCACGAAAGCUAGGGUAGCGAACGGGAUUAGAUACCCCAGUAGUCC